GACAGAGGGUGCAAACGUUGUUCGGAAUUACUGGGCGUAAAGCGCGUGUAGGCGGUCUGAAAAGUCGGGUGUGAAAGCCCCGGGCUCAACCCGGGAAGUGCACUCGAAACUGCCAGGCUAGAGCAUCGGAGAGGUUGGUGGAAUUCUCGGUGUAGAGGUGAAAUUCGUAGAUAUCGAGAGGAACACCGGUGGCGAAGGCGGCCAACUGGACGAAUACUGACGCUGAGACUCGAAAGCGUGGGGAGCAAACAGG
rnacentral:rRNA from 1 species